rnacentral:lncRNA from 1 species
CAAGAUCGGUGAGAAAUCAAUGGUUUCAGCCCUCACGACGUCUCGUUCAACGGUCAACUUUCCUUCUUUUGUGGUCAACCGGAAAAACUCGUCUUCAGCUGCGUCAACACAGACUCCAUUGAUGUCACAGAUCUCACCUUUGGGCGAUAAUGGAAGUAAUGUAUGAAUCACAGGGUCGGAUUUGACCAAAGAGACGAAUUUUGUGUACAACAGUUCGACUUUAUCGACUUCUUCACUUACAAAAAGUGAGAAAACAUCAUCUGCAAUCGCCUGGGCUUCUUUUGCAGUGGGGAGGUUGCUUCCGUCAAGAAACUUGUCCACCGGAAUGUAUGGUCGCCGGGAAAAAUAAGAGUUACCUUUUUUGCCAACACUGAUGACUACGUAUUCAAGUCCAAGAGUUUUGAGUUCACGAAUUCUUGCUUCUGCUUUUUUAAGGAUCAUGUUGUUGAAACCACCGCAGAGACCACGGUCUCCGGUGACCACCACAAGCGCCACCUUCUUCACCGGUCGGACACUGGUAAGUGGGACAUCAACGUCUUCUACUUGGAGCUGUUCGUUGAUGCUGUAAAGAACUUCAACUAAAGUUUCUGAAAAUGGUCUCGCAUUCACGACAGCUUCUUGAGCUCUUCUCACUUUCGCAGCUGCAACAAGCUUCAUUGCUUCAGUGAUUUUCUGGGUGUUCUUCACUGAUUCUAUACGACCACGAAGCUCCUUCAGACUGCAAUUGAUCGAGGAAGAAGAAGGUCUGGAAUUCGAAAUUGAUGGAUUGGAAUUUGGGAUUUGAACUGGGCUGAUGAACGAUCUGAAGGAGAGGGCAGAUGAAUCGAGUGAUGAGGGUUUUGAAGAUACCCACAUUGUUAGAUUCGAGCAAGACAUAAUGUCCGAUUAGGGUUUUCUUCCAGAAUUCAACAAUGGAGGUUGGGGAUGCGUAAAGAGUUUUUGUUUCUUGAUAAAAAUCUUAUCUUUUGCUUGUAUGGUGGAUUGUGUAUGUGUGGGAAUUUUAGAAUGUGGAUGAGGCUUUUGAGUGGAGGGAGAUGAUCAAGAUCAUGUAUAUGGAUCAGGGGUUUUAAAUAAACCCCAGUAAGUUUCAUUUUUUCUCUUUUUGCCACCAUACUUUUGUUUUCAACGAACUAAAUGCAAAGUACAACUCAAUCUGCUUCAUGUACAAGUUCUUAUAGGCUAUUUCCCGUUUGAGACUUCAAAAAAUUCAUGUUUUCGUUCACUGAAGUUUUGAAUAAAUUCAAUGCAAGACAACAUCUACUGCAUAAAGUACAAGUCUCUAAUGCAAGUUGACAACUUGAUAGAAUAUACUUUUUUAAAAUUCAAUAUUAUUUCAACAAUUGUAAGGUCCAACUUACAUUACAUAAUGUACAGCUUACAAUGCACAAGGUACAACACUCACAUUCAAAAGUAGAAAGCCAUAACAAACAUAUAAACAAAAGUAAGUUGUUACUUCUUGCAUUUAUAUCUUAGCAACAAAAAAUCCCAAAUAGGUAACUCAAAUAACAGAGUGAAAAAAGAA